AACGCGAAGAACCUUACCUGGCCUUGACAUGCAUCUCUAAACCGGUGAAAGCCGGCGAGUCUCGAAAGAGACAAUUUGCACAGGUGCUGCAUGGCUGUCGUCAGCUCGUGUCGUGAGAUGUUGGGUUAAGUCCCGCAACGAGCGCAACCCUUGUGAACUGUUGCCACUCCGGCGUGAGCCGGAAGCACUCUGUUCAGACUGCCCUGUGAAACGGGGAGGAAGGUGAGGACGACGUCAAGUCAGUAUGGCCCUUACGGCCAGGGCUGCACACGUACUACAAUGCCCAGUACAGAAUGAUCCGAGACCGCAAGGUGGAGGAAAUCUCCUAAAAACUGGGCCCAGUUCGGAUUGAAGUCUGCAACUCGACUUCAUGAAGCCGGAAUCGCUAGUAAUGGCGCAUCAGCUACGGCGCCGUGAAUACGUUCCCGGGCCUUGUA
rnacentral:rRNA from 1 species